CCUACGGGCUGCACCAGUGGGGAAUAUUGCACAAUGGGCGCAAGCCUGAUGCAGCCAUGCCGCGUGUGUGGAAAAGGCCUUCGGGUUGUAAAGCACUUUCAGCGGAGAGGAAGGCGAUAAGGUUAAUAACCUUGUCGAUUGACGUUACCCGCAGAAGAAGCACCGGCUAACUCCGUGCCAGCAGCCGCGGUAAUACGGAGGGUGCAAGCGUUAAUCGGAAUUACUGGGCGUAAAGCGCACGCAGGCGGUCUGUCAAGUCGGAUGUGAAAUCCCCGGGCUCAACCUGGGAACUGCAUUCGAAACUGGCAGGCUAGAGUCUUGUAGAGGGGGGUAGAAUUCCAGGUGUAGCGGUGAAAUGCGUAGAGAUCUGGAGGAAUACCGGUGGCGAAGGCGGCCCCCUGGACAAAGACUGACGCACAGGUGCGGAAGCGUGGGGAGCAAACAGGAUUAGAUACCCCAGUAGUC
rnacentral:rRNA from 1 species